rnacentral:snRNA from 1 species
AAAACAGAAAGCAGAGCGUUCUU